rnacentral:lncRNA from 1 species
AAGCAUGGGAAGGUCUUGGAACCUGCCCAGCUGGUCUGCCAUCAAUCAGCUUGGGGCUCUCACACCCUUUGGUGCCACUUACUCUGGUGCUUGAUUUCAGAGACUGAAUCCAUUAUCAUCACGGCGGGAGCUUGGUGACAUGUAGACAGACAUGUUUCUGGAGAAGUAGCUGAUCGUUCUACACCUGGAUCUGCAGGCAGCAGAAAGAAAGAGCAUUGCUGGGCCUGGCUUGGGCUUUUGAAACCUCAAAGCCCACCGCCAGUGACACACUUCCUCCAACAAGGCCACACCUCCUAGUUCUUCUCAAGUAUUGCUACUCACUGAUGACUGAGCAUUCAAGUCUGUGAGCCUAUACGGCCAUCUCAUUCAAGCCACCACACAGGGCCUCAUUAAGUUGUCCAGGCUGUCUGAACUCACUCCCUGUAGCCCAAGCAAACAUUGAAUUUGCAAUCCUGCUACCUCAACCCCCGGCUGACACUACCAGGUCAUCUAAAUGCUCACUUUUUAAAAAUUGUGUGUUUGUUUCGGGACAGGGUCUUGCUAUGUCAUCAUGGCUGGCCUGGAACUUGCUAUGUAGAUCAGGCUGUCCUCAAACUUGUGAUGAAAUUCUACCUUUCCCUCCCGUCAUGAGCCAUCAUACUUGCCUCAAUAUUCACUUUAUUUAUUUUUAUUUUUAUUUUUGUUUUUUUUUUUUCGAGACAGGGUUUCUCUGUGUAGCUUUGGAGGCUGUCCUGGAACUAGUUGUUGUAGACCAGGCUGGCCUCGAACUCACAGAGAUCCACCUGCCUCUGCCUCCCGAGUGCUGGGAUUAAAGGUUUGUGCCACCAACACCCGGCUUUAAAUAUUCACUUUAAAUGAUUACAUUUUGUAAAUUUCAACUCAAUGUUAAAGUACCGAUGAUGGGGAAAAUACUUCUGAGUAUGUUCAUCUUAUUGAUUGUUGAAUAAAGUACUGUUUGGCCAAUGAAGCAGCAAGUUAGAUGGGAUUAGGAGUCAAAGAGGAUUCUGGGAAAUGUAGUAGAGAUGUGGUGAUGGAGGCAGGAAGGGACAUAGCAAGGAAACUCAUAUUUAAGGAAGGAGAAGUAGGAAGUGGUCCCUCAUUCCCCUCAGCUCUUCCUCCAGCAGCUUGAUGUGAUCCACCAGCAAGGGAGGAUACCAAUGGAAGGUGUCUGAUAAGUCAUAAAGUAUAUAGAUUUAUGAUAAUUAAGACUGAGCUAGCAGAUGAGAAGUCCUAGUCAUUGGCCAAG